UAAUAAGUGUUUUAUGGCACUUUUUAAAUCCAUAUCCACCUUGUGUGCAAUGUCAGUCGAUCUUCUUCAUGAGGAUCGACCAAACAUCAACCUUUAUCUUUUUAACUCUUUGUCUGAAGAAUAUUAUGAAUAAACAAUUCAAAAUA
rnacentral:misc_RNA from 1 species